UUUGACCUCAAAUCAGGUAGGACUACCCGCUGAACUUAAGCAUAUCAAUAAGCGGAGGAAAAGAAACUAACAAGGAUUCCCCUAGUAACUGCGAGUGAAGAGGGAAAAGCUCAAAUUUAAAAUCUGGCAGUCUCCGAUUGUCCGAGUUGUAAUUUAGAGAAGUGUUACCCGCGUUGGACCGUGUACAAGUUUCCUGGAAUGGAACGUCAUAGAGGGUGAGAAUCCCGUCUUUGACACGGACUACCAAGGCUUUGUGGUGCGCUCUCGAAGAGUCGUGUUGUUUGGGAAUGCAGCACUAAAUGGGUGGUAAAUUCCAUCUAAAGCUAAAUAUUGGGGAGAGACCGAUAGCGAACAAGUACCGUGAGGGAAAGAUGAAAAGAACUUUGGAAAGAGAGUUAAACAGUACGUGAAAUUGCUGAAAGGGAAACGCUUGAAGUCAGUCGCGUUGGCCGGGGAUCAGCCUUCCUUUUGGUUGGUGUACUUCCUGGUCGAUGGGUCAGCAUCAGUUUUGACCGGUGGAUAAGAGCUUGAGGAAUGUGGCAUCUUCGGGUGUGUUAUAGCCUCUUGUUGUAUACAUCGGUUGGGACUGAGGAACUCAGCACGCCGCAAGGCCGGGUUUUUAACCACGUUCGUGCUUAGGAUGCUGGCAUAAUGGCUUUAAUCGACCCGUCUUGAAACACGGACCAAGGAGUCUAACAUGCCUGCGAGUGUUUGGGUGGAAAACCCGAGCGCGUAAUGAAAGUGAAAGUUAGGAUCUCUGUCGUGGAGAGCACUGACGCCCGGUCCAGACCUUCUGUGACGGUACCGCGGUUGAGCAUGUAUGUUGGGACCCGAAAGAUGGUGAACUAUGCCUGAAUAGGGUGAAGCCAGAGGAAACUCUGGUGGAGGCUCGUAGCGAUUCUGACGUGCAAAUCGAUCGUCGAAUUUGGGUAUAGGGCCGAAAGAC
rnacentral:rRNA from 1 species